CGAAAAUUUGACCGUAAACAACCCCAAGGAUGGUGCUGUCGCUUGUCAAUCACCAAAUCACAUGUUCGGUGGGCGGAGACGCUGAAGUCGGUGAUAUAAGGAGCGGUGACGGGCUGACCUAGCCAUUCUCCGUGGGAGUAUGCAUGUGGUCGGGUCCAUAAUCACUCCUGAAGGAUGCUCCCGGACGUCUUUCUUUCCUGGUAUACUUGGUCGAGCGGACUUUGCUGUGGAUGCAGGAGGUUGUCGCUGAGCUAAGAAAUCUUAGACCCCAAGGAAUGGACUUGGAGCAUUUAAGGACCUAGAAAGGCUUGCCCUGCCUCAACUACGCCUGGAUCAGAAGGCUUCUUCCGGAUAUGCUUCCAGUCGCUAGUUUGCGUCUCCGCACGUUGCAGUCACGAUUUCGUGGGUUCCCCGGGUAUCACGUCGGCAGUCUCGGAUCGUCGAAUCAAGUUCCAUCCCGUUCAGACUCGUAUCUGCGUCAUGGAGCUGCCAUCAAGGCUUCGCAUGGUAUGAUCUGCACACGCCUCCUAUAAGGACUGCAGACUUGUCCUCUCCUCCGCCGUUUGGAGACCUAUCCGUCCUCACCAGAGGGCGACUCGUCGUUUAGAAGUCAUCGAAGCAUCCACGUGGCAGCCGCCCUUUCGACCCUUCGUCGACUUCUGUCUCAACUGUUGCUGCCAGAAACCGAAGGACAACCCUCGCCUCCCUCAUGACCUCGUCGAUUUGGACGUCGACGGACAGUUGUAAUUUUGUUCGAAUGCACAAACUUGGGGAUAAGCAAGAUUGUGGGCAUUUUCGACAUUACCUGUUCGUGAAUGCUGGUGAUUGUCGCUAAGGUAAUAAAUCUUUCUAUGGUGUUUGUAUUUCCUCCCCGGGUGUCGGAGAAGAAACUUCGUAAGUUUCUCAGUGUUUUCCGAGACAUAAUUUGGAAGGCUCUUCAAUUCCACCUGCAAAAUAAAGUGGACCUUCUACAGAUUAUGUACAUAUUUCCAGCUCAUUCUCGUAACUUUCAUUUCUUUGCUGAAAAUAAAAGGGUAAGACAAACCUCUUGGUGUUUGC